rnacentral:rRNA from 1 species
ACGAACGCUGGCGGCGUGCUUAACACAUGCAAGUCGAACGGAAAGGCCCUGCUUUUGUGGGGUGCUCGCGUGGCGAACGGGUGAGUAACACGUGAGUAACCUGCCCUUGACUUUGGGAUAACUUCAGGAAACUGGGGCUAAUACCGGAUAGGAGCUCCUGCUGCAUGGCGGGGGUUGGAAAGUUUCGGCGGUUGGGGAUGGACUCGCGGCUUAUCAGCUUGUUGGUGGGGUAGUGGCUUACCAAGGCUUUGACGGGUAGCCGGCCUGAGAGGGUGACCGGCCACAUUGGGACUGAGAUACGGCCCAGACUCCUACGGGAGGCAGCAGUGGGGAAUAUUGCACAAUGGGCGGAAGCCUGAUGCAGCAACGCCGCGUGCGGGAUGACGGCCUUCGGGUUGUAAACCGCUUUCGCCUGUGACGAAGCGUGAGUGACGGUAAUGGGUAAAGAAGCACCGGCUAACUACGUG